rnacentral:rRNA from 1 species
GCGCAACCUUGUCCUUAGUUACCAGCACGUUAUGGUGGGCACUCUAAGGAGACUGCCGGUGACAAACCGGAGGAAGGUGGGGAUGACGUCAAGUCAUCAUGGCCCUUACGGCCUGGGCUACACACGUGCUACAAUGGUCGGUACAAAGGGUUGCCAAGCCGCGAGGUGGAGCUAAUCCCAUAAAACCGAUCGUAGUCCGGAUCGCAGUCUGCAACUCGACUGCGUGAAGUCGGAAUCGCUAGUAAUCGUGAAUCAGAAUGUCACGGUGAAUACGUUCCCGGGCCUU